AACGCGAAGAACCUUACCCGGGUUUGAACGCGGGAGGACGGUCUGGGAAACCAGGCUUCUAGCAAUAGUCUCCCGCGAGGUGCUGCAUGGUUGUCGUCAGCUCGUGCCGUGAGGUGUCGGCUUAAGUGCCAUAACGAGCGCAACCCUUGCCGCCAGUUGCUAGCAGGUGAAGCUGAGGACUCUGGCGGGACUGCCAGCGUAAGCUGCGAGGAAGGCGGGGAUGACGUCAAAUCAGCACGGCCCUUACAUCCGGGGCGACACACGUGUUACAAUGGCGUGGACAGCGGGAGGCCACCUGGCGACAGGGAGCGGAGCCCGAAACCACGUCUCAGUUCGGAUCGGAGUCUGCAACCCGACUCCGUGAAGCUGGAUUCGCUAGUAAUCGCGCAUCAGCCAUGGCGCGGUGAAUACGUUCCCGGGUCUUGUACACACGC
rnacentral:rRNA from 1 species